rnacentral:rRNA from 1 species
GACGAACGCUGGCGGCGUGCUUAACACAUGCAAGUCGAACGGAAAGGCCCUGCUUUUGUGGGGUGCUCGAGUGGCGAACGGGUGAGUAACACGUGAGUAACCUGCCCUUGACUUUGGGAUAACUUCAGGAAACUGGGGCUAAUACCGGAUAGGAGCUCCUGCUGCAUGGUGGGGGUUGGAAAGUUUCGGCGGUUGGGGAUGGACUCGCGGCUUAUCAGCUUGUUGGUGGGGUAGUGGCUUACCAAGGCUUUGACGGGUAGCCGGCCUGAGAGGGUGACCGGCCACAUUGGGACUGAGAGACGGCCCAGACUGCUACGGGAGGCAGCGGGGGGGAAUAUUGCACAAUGGGCGGAAGCCUGAUGCAGCAACGCCGCGUGCGGGAUGACGGCCUUCGGGUUGUAAACCGCUUUCGCCUGUGACGAAGCGUGAGUGACGGUAAUGGGUAAAGAAGCACCGGCUAACUACGUG